rnacentral:lncRNA from 1 species
AUAUUAAAUCUUCUGGGAAUGUUACUUAAGAAAGAUAACCAGGACACGAGGAAACUGUUAAUGACUUGGGCUUUGGAAGUAGCUGUUGUAAUGAAGAAGUCCUAUUCUGUCUUCCGUCUUUCCAUAAAUUUUGCAAAGGCCUUUUAGCCGACACUCUCGUUGAAGAUGUGAAUAUCUGUCUGCAGGCAUGCAGCAGUCUACAUGCUCUAUCCUCUUCCUUGCCAGAUGAUCUUUUACAGAGAUGUGUUGAUGUUUGCCGUGUCCAACUAGUGCACCGUGGAACUUGUAUUCGACAAGCAUUUGGAAAACUGUUGAAAUCAAUUCCUUUAGGUGUUUUCCUAAGCGAUAACAAUCACACAGAAAUUCAAGAAAUUUCUUUAGCAUUAAGAAGUCACAU